rnacentral:rRNA from 1 species
CCUACGGGAGGCAGCAGUGGGGAAUAUUGGACAAUGGGCGAAAGCCUGAUCCAGCCAUGCCGCGUGAGUGAUGAAGGCCUUAGGGUUGUAAAGCUCUUUCACCGAUGAAGAUAAUGACGGUAGUCGGAGAAGAAGCCCCGGCUAACUUCGUGCCAGCAGCCGCGGUAAU